UGGGGAAUAUUGCACAAUGGACGGAAGUCUGAUGCAGCGACGCCGCGUGGGGGAUGAAGGCUUUCGGGUUGUAAACUCCUUUCAGUACAGAAGAAGCUUUAUUGUGACGGUAUGUGCAGAAGAAGCGCCGGCUAACUACGUGCCAGCAGCCGCGGUAAUACGUAGGGCGCGAGCGUUGUCCGGAAUUAUUGGGCGUAAAGAGCUCGUAGGCGGUUUGUCGCGUCUGCUGUGAAAGACCGGGGCUUAACUCCGGGGCUGCAGUGGGUACGGGCAGGCUGGAGUGCGGUAGGGGUAACCGGAAUUCCUGGUGUAGCGGUGGAAUGCGCAGAUAUCAGGAGGAACACCGAUGGCGAAGGCAGGUUACUGGGCCGUUACUGACGCUGAGGAGCGAAAGCAUGGGGAGCGAACAGG
rnacentral:rRNA from 1 species